rnacentral:rRNA from 1 species
GCGAUCAUACCAGCAAUAAUGCACCGGAUCCCAUCAGAACUCCGCAGU